rnacentral:rRNA from 1 species
CCUACGGAGAGCUGCAGUGGGGGAUAUUGCACAAUGGGGGAAACCCUGAUGCAGCGACGCCGCGUGUGGGAAGACGGUCCUCUGGAUUGUAAACCACUGUCCCCAGGGACGAAGAUGACGGUACCUGGGGAGGAAGCUCCGGCUAACUACGUGCCAGCAGCGGCGGUAAUACGUAGGGAGCGAGAGUUGUCCGGAAUUACUGGGUGUAAAGGGAGCGUAGGCGGGACUGCAAGUUGGGUGUCAAAUCUACCGGCUCAACCGGUAGCCGCACUCAAAACUGCAGUUCUUGAGUGAAGUAGAGGCAGGCGGAAUUCCUGGUGUAGCGGUGAAAUGCGUAGAUAUCAGGCGGAACACCGGUGGCGAAGGCGGCCUGCUGGACUGCAACUGACGUUGAGGCCCGAAAGCGUGGGGAGCAAACAGGAUUAGAUACCCUUGUAGUA